AUGUAUCUUUGUCAAUAUGCAUGCCACUAUGCAAGAAAUGUUUUUCCUACUGCUAAGUGCCUGAAACAAGAUUUUAAUGUAUUUUUUGAAAUCUUAAGUCUUGUCCACAUUUUGUCCUCUUGGAUAGUGAAAACCCUGCUGUCAAUCUGUAUUCACAGAGCUCAGAGUUCUACAAAGUCACCACUGAGCAGUACCAGAAAGCCGCUGAAGAGGUGGAAGCAAAGUUCAAGCGGUAUGAAUGCCAUCCCGUCUGUGCCGACCUGCAGGCCCAGAUUCUCCAGUGUUACCGCCAGAACACCCAGCAGACCCUCAGCUGCUCCGCUCUGGCCAGCGAGUACAUGCGCUGUGUCAAUCAGGCCAAACAGAGCAUGCUUGAAAAGGGAGGAUAAAAGCAACUUUUAGAACAAGCAAAAUUCCCUCAACGUUAAUUCCAGAGGUGGAACAUUUUUUUUUUCCUAGUAAGAAAGUAACCCAUUUAAAGAGAAGACCGUUAAAGAGAAGCAUCAGAGAGCAGAUUCAUCAGAAGCAUAUCACAGUUUGAUCAGCAACAGUUUGAAAAGCCAAGGCCUCCGUCAGGGAUGAGCCAUCAAGGACGUGCUGCAGUGUUAAUAAACCUCAUUUAUGAUGAUUAAAAAGAAAGGUCGCCCUCUCCACCUUCUGUGCUUUCUAUUCAGCUUCCUCUCCUAACCAAGCCCCAUCAUUUGGUGACCCUUCCGUCCCACUAAGCUGGGGGUUGGCGUCGAGGGCUAAGGUCUUUGGAGUGGGGAAAACCUUCCAUUUCAGGCCAGCUGCACCAGGCGGAAUUGGCUAGGCUGGGGCAUGGUGGGGUGCUCUUUUUCUUUUUUCCUUUGACUAUGUAAGAGCUUCUUUAUUUUAACUCAUGGUGAUCAUGUAAGAAGACGAAAGGCAAGAAAAUGUACCUCUCUUACUGGAAUAAUGUUUCUGGUUAAACGUGAAAUAAGGCAUCUUUUUAUCAAUAUGAAGGCAACUUGGCUUCCCCCACCCUCUCCUCUGUCAUGAAUACUGACAUCUUCACCCACCAUCAAUAAUAAAUCUAUUUUCUGAUGAAGACUGGCUUUGUAGUCUGGGGCCUCAUGUGUUGUUUGUUUCUUUGCUUGUUUGCCGGGUUAGAUGAUUAUACUUACAGGAACUGAACUGAUUUACAGUAUUGUUAAUUUGCGUUUGCCUUCCCUCUGUAAAGCUCCAGCACAUUCCACAGAGCCUCAGCCAGGCAAGAGAUGCUUGCAGCUUGCCUCUCCCGGUAGGUAGGAUUCAGUAAGAUCUUUAUAAACUGCAGGAACCUUCCCUUCUUUGGGGUGACUGAAAUCAUCCUGCCUGAGGCACGCACUAGGAAGUUCUGACCCUGCAGUACCAGGAAAAUGUAAAAAAGGGGGGAAAAAAAUUAACCCUGAGAGUUUUUCCUCUUUCUAAUUUCAUUCAGACUUCCUGAUGAUAACUCUCACUACUUUUUUACCCGAGGCUUGCUGCUUCCACACAGGAAGUUGGGACUGCGCAUGCACACUGCAUGGAAAGAUCUUUCCUGGAAAUAGACGGAGAAGUGAAGGCCAGAGCCCUGUGAUGUCUUCUGAAUAUCUUUUGUCAUGGAGAAUUUUUAUUGUUUAUUUUGUUGCAGAAGGAGAUAGUUUGACAACGUAAUUAAGAAAACAAGCUCUGGAAUGAGGUGUAUCUGUUGAGAUUAUGGCUCUGCUAGCUGCCACCUUUGGGACCUAAUUGUCACCCCACCAUACUAAGCCUUGGAUGCCUCAACUGUAAAUUGAGGGGAAAUGGAAGAACCUGCCUUACAGGCUUAUGGGGAAGAGCCAAAACACUUUCUCCUUAUCUUUGGUCAGUUCUGUGGUCAUUGGAAUGCAAGUUUUCAGUAAACUGGUAUUUGGUUAUGGGGGCAUAGAACGAACCUCCACACGCCUUUUACUUGGAGUCAGGAUGAAUGUAACUUGUGUUGGAAACAUUGCAAUCAACCCCCUACGUGUCAGCGUGGCUUCUUACUCCUCUAAAUUCCCAUGUUGGCUCCACUUGAAUGUUAUCUUCGUGGACAUUUGUGGACACAUCUGUGAACUUGAUACUGACUCUGAAUGACAUUGCGGACACUCCUCCUGUGAUUACUGAGAGACACUAUGGUUGUUUCAUGAAAAGUUUUUGUGUAAAUGAUACACAAUCAGCUGCAUUCAUUGAUGUGUGAACGAGGAAGCAUUGGUCACUUGAGGAGCAGCACACUUCGGCCCUGGGAGGAAGGUAGCCAGAUAACUGCCUGGGAGAAGUGAUAGGUGCACAAAAACAGAUGUGUACACGGUGACUGGCUGUAGUCUUUAUAGAUCAGCUAACUCACAAAUUCUCUCCUGUACUGUUUUGUUCUGCAAUUUAGAGCCAGGAACUUGGCACAUUCCAGGCUGCCCGUCUCCUUGCUGGCAGAGGAAUAGAGCACUGAGGAGGCAGCCAUUUAAAGCUGGUUAAAUCCGUGAAAACGAAGAUGGUUUGUCAGGACACCUCUCUCCCAGCACCUGGCAUUAACUUCUCACUCUGAUGAACAUGAUGGGUACAAGGGCCAAAGACCAACCUUGAGAAAUAAAAGGGUGAAAACGAUGCCUUUUCUCGCGCCUUGCAGACGACCUUGUUAAUUGCACUACAACUCCGUACAGGUCACUGCUAACCUCCGGGUAGCUGCUGGGAGAGAAGGUCGUGAUCUGUAUCAGGCUCAUGGGAGUGACACACUCCAGGCAGUACCUCCACUGAGUAGAACACACCUUGAUCCACCAUAGUGGAGCUCAUGAAGCCGAGAAGAAAUAAAGUAUCUUGGAGUCCCCUUCGUGACUCAGCAGUUAACGAACCCGACUAGUAUCCAUGAGGACGCAGGUUCAAUCCCUAGCCUUGAUCAGUGGGUUAAGGAUCCGGCGUUGCUGUGGGUUGUAGUACAGGUCACAGAUGCGGCCCAGGUCCUGCAUUGCUGUGGCUGUGGUGUAGGCCAGCAGCUACAGCUCCAUUCGACCCCUAGCCUGGGAACUUCCGUAUGCCCCAAGUAUGGCCCUAAAAAGCAAAAAAAUAAAAAGUAUCUUGAAAACUGGUCAGAUGUUAUCACACAAAUGUCUGGUG
rnacentral:lncRNA from 1 species